GCUAGAUCCUCCUAUAUUGAUUGUUAGGAUUGUUGGCCUAUCAGUGGUUAGGGGUGAGCAUAUAAAAGGUGGAGUUGUGUCACAAGGAUGUGUUGCUCUUAGGUGCCCCGCCCCUUUCUGGUACCAGUGUUUACAUUGUGGUUAGCAGUGUGGCUAACUUGGUCACAGCUCACUUAGGGUUCUUUUUGUGCAUCUAUCCAAAGGCCGCAUGAAGUCGACUGGUUAAUGUUGCAACCGGUGUUUGGUCAGACUGCUUACUUGGGUGCUGUGGGUCAAACCCCAAAAAGGGCAGGGAGGCAGAUCUCCACAUGUGUGCGGUGGUGGUGCUAUCUUGUCACCGUGUGCAGUGUUGUGGCGUGUCGAUCACCAACCAAAAUCUCACUGGG